rnacentral:rRNA from 1 species
GGCAGCAGCUAAGAAUAUUCCGCAAUGGACGAAAGUCUGACGGAGCGACGCCGCGUGGAUGAUGAAGGCCGGAAGGUUGUAAAAUCCUUUUAUGACUGAGGAAUAAGUGAAGUGAGAGAAACGCUUCAUGGUGACUGUAGGUCAUGAAUAAGCAACGGCUAAUUACGUGCCAGCAGCCGCGGUAACACGUAAGUUGCGAGCGUUGUUCGGAAUUAUUGGGCGUAAAGGGUAUGUAGGCGGUUCUGCAAGUCUGGUGUGAAAUUCCGGGGCUCAACCCCGGGACUGCGUUGGAAACUGCAGGACUUGAAUCGCUGAGGGGCAGCCAGAAUUCCAGGUGUAGGGGUGAAAUCUGUAGAUAUCUGGAAGAAUACCAAUGGCGAAGGCAGGCUGCCAGCAGAUGAUUGACGCUGAGGUACGAAGGUGCGGGGAGCAAACAGGAUUAGAUACCCUGGUAGUCCGCACAGUCAACUAUGUACACUGGGUGUCCGCACAUGAGUGUGGGUGCCGAAGCAAACGCGAUAAGUGUACCGCCUGGGGAGUAUGCCCGCAAGGGUGAAACUCAAAGGAAUUGACGG